GACGAACGCUAGCGGGAGGCUUAACACAUGCAAGUCGAGGGGCAGCAUAGAGUAGCAAUACUUUGAUGGCGACCGGCGCACGGGUGAGUAACGCGUAUGCAACCUACCCAUAUUUGGGGGAUAACCCGGAGAAAUUCGGAUUAACACCGCAUAAUAUCAUUGAAUGGCAUCAUUUGAUGAUUAAAUAUUUAUAGAAUAUGGAUGGGCAUGCGUCUGAUUAGUUAGUUGGUGAGGUAACGGCUCACCAAGACAACGAUCAGUAGGGGUUCUGAGAGGAAGGUCCCCCACACUGGUACUGAGACACGGACCAGACUCCUACGGGAGGCAGCAGUGGGGAAUAUUGGUCAAUGGGCGAGAGCCUGAACCAGCCAAGUCGCGUGAAGGAAGACUGCCCUAUGGGUUGUAAACUUCUUUUGUAAGGGAAUAAAAAGCACUACGUGUAUUGCCUUGUAGGUACCUUACGAAUAAGGAUCGGCUAACUCCGUGCCAGCCGCCGCUGUAACAC
rnacentral:rRNA from 1 species